rnacentral:lncRNA from 1 species
UGAUGAUCACUUCCUGUGUGAGCAUCAAGGCUGGAAGGGUGGAAGACAUCUUGGAGGGGUUAAUGCCUGAAGUGAAUUCUAUAAAUUGAGUAAGAAUCAAUCAGAGUAAAGGCAGGAAUAUAUCAAGGAGAGUUUUCUGGUACUGAGUAUGUGAAAGCUCUGCAGCCAUGUAUGUGCAGACUGUAUGCUUGGAGUUGAUAAUUCUUGAUUUGGAGGGGAUUGGUGUGGUUAAUACUGAGCAAGUACCGGGAAUUGAACUCAGAACCUUGCACUUAUGAGGCAGACAUGGUGCCACUCCACUAAAUCCCUGGCCCUUAUUUGCAUUUCUAUCAUUAGAGAAAAAAGUGUUGAAACCUUGGAAUCCCUUGAAGAUGCUCUCUUUUACUCCUCUUUCCACAUUUCUGAUAUGAAAAGGAAGCAAGGCAAAGCUGAGAGAAACAGAUGCUACCCACAGGGCGGUGGUGGCCUUUGGUUGUUUUGGUCUUUGUACCAUCAUCUUCCAAUCGCAUGGCGGAUAGCAAGUUCCUUUUGGACUACACAGUUUUCCUUGCAGUCAAGACACGAACAAUGGAUCCCACUCCUCCAGCAGCAAAACUAG